rnacentral:rRNA from 1 species
CCUACGUGAGGCUGCAGUGGGGAAUAUUGGACAAUGGGCGAAAGCCUGAUCCAGCCAUGCCGCGUGUGUGAAGAAGGCCUUCGGGUUGUAAGGCACUUUCAGUGGGGAAGAAAGCCUUGGGGCUAAUACCCUCGAGGAAGGACAUCACCCACAGAAGAAGCACCGGCUAACUCCGUGCCAGCAGCCGCGGUAAUACGGAGGGUGCGAGCGUUAAUCGGAAUUACUGGGCGUAAAGCGCGCGUAGGCGGUCUGAUAAGCCGGUUGUGAAAGCCCCGGGCUCAACCUGGGAACGGCAUCCGGAACUGUCAGGCUAGAGUGCAGGAGAGGAAGGUAGAAUUCCUGGUGUAGCGGUGAAAUGCGUAGAGAUCGGGAGGAAUACCAGUGGCGAAGGCGGCCUUCUGGACUGACACUGACGCUGAGGUGCGAAAGCGUGGGUAGCAAACAGGAUUAGAUACCCCGGUAGUC